GAUGGAAGGCUUCUUCUUACUACUUGUUUCAUUUCAAUAACAAUAGGAGGAGAUACAGGAUUAAUGUAGUUCACAGCUCAGUUUUUUCAGAUUACAGAUAUCUUGAUAUGCAGUUCCAGCCAGGUUUCUACAGUAACUGCUGAAUUGAUGUGGUCUCUAUUCAGUUCAAGAAGCAAGAAGAGGAACAACAGAGUGGGAGGAUAUCAUCACCAACAGAAAACUCCUCAGAGAAAAUGUCCAGCCGCACUGUUCAAGUUACGGCAUAUGUCCCAGUGUCCUAACUAUUGUGCAAAAACUGAUCUGGAAUACUUUCUGGUAGCAUCUGAGGACUUGAAACAACUUUUUGGUUUACUGGAGAUUCAGCUCCUCGGAGUGCUGAAGAUGGACUGUUGGGAGUAACCCACCAAUAACGGAGUGCCAGCCACUGUAUUUGCUGCCAUAAUGAGACUGAGACCUCCUGCCUGGUAAGUGGACAGCUGAAUCACUCAGCCAUUUAUCUAAUGAAGAUGGAGAAAUGGAGGUGCCUGGAGAAAAGAAUUACUUGUUAUGGAUAGCAGUUGGUAUGACAUGGUUAUGAAUCACAAAGAAAGCAGUUACUUUAGAAAGAGCUGAAAGAAGACUAUGAAACAUUUCAGAACUACCAGGGGACGGGUGACUGCAUUGAGUCUUAGAAAUACAGUUAUUGUGAUUUCCAAUAACUGGUGAAAAGUGAUUCCUGCCUUUGAAGUUCUUAGCCCCAAAGGGGACCAAAGUUACAAACUCUACUACAUAGGAAAGAUUUCUACCACAUAGAAUUAUUAUUUUUUUUAAGUGUGUAAGAGACUUGGUCACCUCCUUUAUUGAGAGAAUGAAAUUUAUGCUACUUUUCUUUGGCUGAAGUUUAUGUUGAAAUCUUUGGUAAUUGCUAAAGGAACCGUGGCAAUUACCAUAAUGACUGAGGGUGUGUCUGUGUCAGAGGUAACAAAUGAAGUAACAAAGCAUGUCCUGUCAUUGAACAGUGGAACCAAGCACCAGCAUUACCUUCUGUUGAGAAGAUUGGAGAUAAUCUUUAAUACCUAUAUGCUACCACUGU